rnacentral:lncRNA from 10 species
CCGGUUUGUGGGCCUUGGCCCUAUUUUCAUGUCAGUGUUCAGAGUCCAGUCCUACUUGUCAAUGACUCAGAUUGGCUGAUGCUGGGUCAUACUUCCUGCCCCCUGUGAAAAGGGUGCCUGCCACAGUCACUUGGGGCAUGGGAUAAGAUAAUAUAGUACUGGCAGGUAAAUAGCUAACUGGAAUAUGAGCUCGGGUCCCGUCUCUCCCACCUGCACUCCGCGCUGGUGCCUGGGCUCAGCUCCCGUGCUAUGGGCUUUCAUCUCAUCACGCCUUUCCAUGCAGUUGUCUGUCUCCCUCUCCACCUAAGCAAGGAGCUCUUAGGGGCAGAGGCCAUGACUUAUUCCUCUUAUUCCUGCCCUUGGCAGGAGGCCUGGAGAAUAGUUCUUUUUGAUGCAAAUGAAGGAAUGGGUUGGAGAGUCGUACUUCUCUAGGAGGGAAACACAGGUGAGGUCCAGUUUCAGUUUCUGUAAUGCUCUCUUUCAAUGGGGAAACAGCCUAGGAUAUUCUUGUCCAGGCACCAGAGGUUGGGGAAUGUUUCUUGGGCAUGUUUCAGACUGGAGUUCCACAACUCAGACUUUUCUUGCCAAAUGAAAUUUCAGCUACACUUAAGGCACUCUUAGUCCUACCUGUCC